rnacentral:tRNA from 1 species
UCCUGGUUAGCUCACUAGGUAGUGCGCUCCACCUGAAAUGGAGAGGUCCCUGGUUCGACACCAGGACCAGGCG